rnacentral:lncRNA from 1 species
AAAUACGUUAUUCUACCUCUGGAAGCAACAUUUCAAGCAACAGGACAGGGGAUAGAGCCUGAAUGGACCUCACUUUCUCUGGAAACCCCUCCAGAAGCAGACUUUCCCAAGCAGAGCACAGUGGAGGAGCUGCAGUCCUCCAGCACUGGACCCCUCCAACCACCACAGCUUGAGAGAAGGGCACAGGUCCGCCACAGUUUGUUAGAGUGGAGCCCAGGCGCGGAGCGACUAAUGAGCAUGCUGGAGAGAGUGUCCAACCCAACGCCAGCUAGAGACAAUCCACCUGUCUGCUCUCAGACGCAGGCAAUGCAAAAUGGAUGAGGCUGGGACUGAGAUCUGCUCUCCGGUUGGAUACAGCUUAGAGAAUACAAUAAGGGUCAGUGGAAAUAAACUGGGUACACAAAGAAAAGGCUCA